rnacentral:lncRNA from 1 species
GGGAGUGGGAAAGAGGUGGCAUCGGCGGUUCAAGACUGAGUUUUCUAUCUCUUCAGUGCCUCUUUCAACAAUGAAGAUCAAACCAGGUUUUGUGCAAAUAUCUGCUGAGUGAACUACUUAUUUGAAAAUACAUCAUUGGUUAAUAUUCCCUUUUGCUCAUUGAAAUCUCAAAGACUACAGACCCCGCACAAGACAUUCUGACAUUCCCGUCUUUGAAAUGAAUGACAGCAAUGAUAAAUAUGGCUCACCUCCAGAGAUACAGAUCUCACAACUUCAUAUUUUUAAUAUAAAUUAUUAAUCUGAGGUGUGGUGCAAUUCCAUUAGAUGAAAGAGAUCUACACAUUCAGAAGCACAUGAUUCUUCCCCCUUCCAUGAUUCCAGUGGCCAAUAGACAAACUACAAUAAAGCCAUGCCCUGACUGGAUGUGCCUAACAUUUGUCUGGUGCUUAAAGGAGUUGGCUGCAUGCGUGGGAUGGAGAAGGAUUCAACAUUUAAUGGCAGUUAGAAUCAAAUUUUUAACUCAAGAAGGCAGAAGGAAUCCACCUAAAUAAAUGUUGGAAAGUCACCAAAAAUAGUUCUCCAAGUCAGAAGCGGUGCAAAAGCUGCCUCAGCUCUUGGUGGAUUUUCAAUUUCUCCCAGCCAUCUCUGUUUCGCUAAAGGUUUCUGAAGACAGUGGAAUGCUGUUGAAGACACCACCUUGAUAAAACAAAAACAUCAGCCAAAUUAAAUUUAAAGGAGUUUAAUUGAGCAAAGAAUUAUUCAUGAAUCAAGCAGUCUUCCAAGCCAGAGUAGGCUCAAAUACUCCAGCACAGCCACGUGGUGGAAGAUUUAUGGACAAAAGAAGAAAAGUAACAUAUAGAAAAUGGAAAUGAGGGGAAGCUUUUUUCUCCUCCCCAUCCUGAUCACUAGUAUGAGAAGGGGUGCUAAUGGACCAGCCUUGGCCUUGCAGAUGAAGAUGAUGAAGGAAGAAGAUGUAUAAAGAACCUCUGAAAGAGUCCCAGUUUUACAUUUCAAAGUCUUUUUCCUUCUGUUGUUUAUUGUGUUGGGUUGGAGUGGAGGAUAUUUGAUGGAGAAUUGAUUCUGAAACUUGCCAAAAUAUGGAUAAUACUUUGCUCCUUUUCCAUUGUGGGUUAUCACAAAGAAGAGUUUCACUUUUAGUCAUCUAUUUACAGUCUAGAAACAGGAACAAACCCAAACCAAGCAGAAAAACAGAAAUAACCAAGAUCAAAACGGAACUAAAUGAAAUUGAAAUGAAAAAGUACAAAGAUAAAUGAAACAAAAACCUGGUUUAUUGAAAAGUUAAAUAAAAUUGAUAAUUCAAUGG